CCCCCCUUGUUCCUGACAUUGUUGGUUGGCUUUCUCUCCAGGACAGUUCUACUAAGACAUCAGCCACUGUCUCUACAGCCACCACAGAUACUAGUGUUACAGGUAGGUAAGAGCUGAUUGCAUUUUCCCCCUCCUCUCCAUUCCAGUCCUAAUUCCACAUUCAGGCCCAUCCUUGGAAUGCUUUGAGGGCAAACCUGUUGCCAGAAGGAGAACUUCUGCUUUCUUUGCAGGUCCCAACAUCCCUUGGAUGAGCUCUCAAGAGCAUCAUGGAUAUGAGGAAGUAGGAAGUCCUAGGAGAUUGGAGGACAUGGGACCCCUGUUUGAUGAAUGGAACCCUGACGAUGAACCAUGGAUCAAUGAAUAUGCACAUGUCUACCAAGGAUUUGGAAGAUGGCCAGCUGCCUCCACAAAGACAGCACCAAUCUAUGACUCUGUAGCAAACUAUCUGCCCCUGGAUACAGAACUGCCUUUUGAGCAACAAGGGGAACUGGUCUAAGUAAGCUACUCUGUGUUUCUUUGACCCACCAUCCAAAAUUGCGUUGUCUUCUGGCAACUCAUAAUUCCUUCUUUUUAUGCUACAUUCCUUAUCCAUGUAGAGACAUGAAAUCCAGUGGUGCAGCCUUUGGGUGGAUUCAAACAACAUAACUAAGCCUGGAUUAGCGAGACACAAUUGCUGAGGUUGCAAAAAAAAUAAAUAAA
rnacentral:lncRNA from 1 species